AAAAACCUUGACGUUGUAGAUGGUGUGGAAAUUGAACCCCAAACUGCUAAUCCCUGAAAUAAGCACCCUCAACUCCCUAAUCCCGGUCCGUGGAGACAGUUUGGGCGUUCCCAAAUCCCAGGAUUCUGACGUGGAUUAUGAGGCAACGUUGGGAGUGGGCUUUGGACUGAAAGGGAAAAAACGUUUGGCCCAAACAUUAUUUGUGCGGCCCAUCAAUGCCAGCCUAUUACCUUUCGGCGAGCCUGGAGAUUCCUCGACCCAUCCGCAGACUCUGCUCCUCUGAUCCCGCGGCGACGGCCAUGGCAAUGACGAGCGGAUGAUCGCGGCUGCUGGUGGACGAGCGCGGCGAACAUUGAAGAGGCUUUAGGAUUUCAGUAUGGAUCAUGCAGAAAUUCUGUCCGUGCGGUUCCAUUUUGGUGGAGAGUUCGUUCACAUUGGGAAGGAGUUAGAUUAUGUUGGGGGUGACGAGGAGAUUUCUGAGAUUGAGAGAGAAAAGAUGUCACUGCAGGAGGUGAUUGGGUUCUUGAAGGAUCACAUGGAAGUGAAGGACUCGGUGAAAUUGUAUUUCUUGCCACCUGGCAAGGAGCUUGUGAAUGGCUUGGUUUUCCUCUAUGAUGAUGCAAGAUGUGUGAACAUGUCUGAGCAGAUAACAAGAGCACCAACGGUUCCUACUAGGAAAAGUCCAAGAAGAGAAGCACAAUCAGCAGUAGCUAGUUCAAGCAUCCCACAAGGUGCUACUGCCGCUAGUAGAGGGAAAAAGAGACUUCUAAGUGGAAAAUUGAAAGAGUACUUGACUGCAUCUGGGAACUAUUAAAGCAACGGCUAGCACUCCUGUGUUUCUUUUGUUUAUCUUCAGAAACUGAACAGGUCUUAUUUUGUCAAGUUCACUAAACCUGUGUUCAUCGUGUAAUGCUUGAGGAAACUGAACCUGUGUUGAGCAUGAUACAUGUUAUUUAUGUGCA